rnacentral:misc_RNA from 1 species
AAGCGGACAGUUUCAAUUCUAUCUCCAACUUUAAUCUCCACCAAUACACAGGUAUCCCAGGCAUCCUUGUACUGGUCAUAGCGGGGCGAAACUGUCAUGACGCGGUGCCCUCUUGCGGCCAUGGCAGGGGGAAGUCCCCCAAGAACAUCACCAAGUCCACCAGUUUUGCUCCACGGACCAACUUCCGCUCCAACAAAGAUCAAAUUCAUUCCAUGACCACAAAUGAUUUUGGCAGAAGGCCUGCUAUUCUCAGUGGCCCUUUUCCCAGCCUUUGAUUGUGUCCUGAUUUGAAGCUUAUCCGUCAUGUUGUGGGACCUUAAACCAUUGUGAAUCAUGCUUUGGGUCCUGAGUCUAAUGUGAGCCAAAUUAUUAGCCUUGGUUUCUGAUGCAUUGGUGCUCGAGUGUGAGCUCCUUGAAACGAAGUGUGCAGCUGUUACAGUUGCCAUGGUGCCCCUUCGGUGUAGCUGAAAUAGUAAGCUUGGCCAGAGGAGUCCGUUGCGCUA